GUGGGGGAUAUUGCACAAUGGGGGGAACCCUGAUGCAGCGACGCCGCGUGGGUGAAGAAGCGCCUCGGCGCGUAAAGCCCUGUCAGCAGGGAAGAAAAUGACGGUACCUGAAGAAGAAGCCCCGGCUAACUACGUGCCAGCAGCCGCGGUAAUACGUAGGGGGCAAGCGUUAUCCGGAUUUACUGGGUGUAAAGGGGGCGCAGACGGCGAUGCAAGCCAGGAGUGAAAGCCCGGGGCCCAACCCCGGGACUGCUCUUGGAACUGCGUGGCUGGAGUGCAGGAGGGGCAGGCGGAAUUCCUGGUGUAGCGGUGAAAUGCGUAGAUAUCAGGAGGAACACCGGUGGCGAAGGCGGCCUGCUGGACUGCAACUGACGUUGAGGCCCGAAAGCGUGGGGAGCAAACAGGAUUAGAAACCCGAGUAGUCC
rnacentral:rRNA from 1 species